rnacentral:rRNA from 1 species
GUCAUGGCUCAGGAUGAACGCUAGCUACAGGCUUAACACAUGCAAGUCGGGGGGCAGCAUGAACUUAGCUUGCUAAGUUUGAUGGCGACCGGCGCACGGGUGAGUAACACGUAUCCAACCUUCCGUUUACUCAGGGAUAGCCUUUCGAAAGAAAGAUUAAUACCUGAUAGUAUGGUGAGAUUGCAUGAUAGCACCAUUAAAGAUUUAUUGGUAAACGAUGGGGAUGCGUUCCAUUAGG